GUGUCAGCAGCCGCGGUAAUACGUAGGGGGCUAGCGUUGUCCGGAUUUAUUGGGCGUAAAGAGCUCGUAGGCGGUUCGGUAAGUCGGGUGUGAAAUCUCCACGCUCAACGUGGAGGGGCCACCCGAUACUGCCAUGACUAGAGUCCGGUAGGGGAGCGUGGAAUUCCCGGUGUAGCGGUGAAAUGCGCAGAUAUCGGGAGGAACACCCGUAGCGAAGGCGGCGCUCUGGGCCGGUACUGACGCUGAGGAGCGAAAGCGUGGGUAGCAAACAGGAUUAGAAACCCGCGUAGUCC
rnacentral:rRNA from 1 species